rnacentral:rRNA from 1 species
GACGAACGCUGGCGGCGUGCUUAACACGUGCAAGUCGAACGGAAAGGCUCCAGCUUGCUGGAGUACUCGAGUGGCGAACGGGUGAGUAACACGUGGGUAAUCUGCCCUGCACUCUGGGAUAAGCCUGGGAAACUGGGUCUAAUACUGGAUAUGACCUUUCUCCUUAUGGGGUUUGGUGGAAAGUUUUUCGGUGUAGGAUGAGCCCGCGGCCUAUCAGCUUGUUGGUGGGGUGAUGGCCUACCAAGGCGACGACGGGUAGCCGGCCUGAGAGGGUGAUCGGCCACAUUGGGACUGAGAUACGGCCCAGACUCCUACGGGAGGCAGCAGUGGGGAAUAUUGCACAAUGGGCGGAAGCCUGAUGCAGCGACGCCGCGUGAGGGAUGACGGCCUUCGGGUUGUAAACCUCUUUCAGCAGGGACGAAGCGUAAGUGACGGUACCUGCAGAAGAAGCACCGGCCAACUAUGUG